CCUACGGGAGGCAGCAGUGAGGAAUAUUGGUCAAUGGGCGCAAGCCUGAACCAGCCAAGUCGCGUGAGGGAUGACGGUCCUAUGGAUUGUAAACCUCUUUUGUCGGGGAGCAAGGCCCGCCACGUGUGGCCGGCCGGAUAGUACCCGCAGAAAAAGCAUCGGCUAACUCCGUGCCAGCAGCCGCGGUAAUACGGAGGAUUCAAGCGUUAUCCGGAUUUAUUGGGUUUAAAGGGUGCGUAGGCGGUUCGAUAAGUUAGAGGUGAAAUCCCGGGGCUCAACUCCGGCACUGCCUCUGAUACUGUCGGGCUAGAGUUUAGUUGCGGUAGGCGGAAUGUAUGGUGUAGCGGUGAAAUGCAUAGAGAUCAUACAGAACACCGAUUGCGAAGGCAGCUUACCAAACUACGACUGACGUUGAGGCACGAAAGCGUGGGGAGCAAACAGGAUUAGAUACCCCGGUAGUC
rnacentral:rRNA from 1 species